GAUGAACGCUGGCGGCGUGCCUAAUACAUGCAAGUCGAGCGAACGGACGAGAAGCUUGCUUCUCUGAUGUUAGCGGCGGACGGGAGAGUAACACGUGGAGAACCUACCUAUAAGACUGGGAUAAGUUCGGGAAACCGGAACUAAUACCGGAUAAUAUUUUGAACCGCAUGGUUCAAAAGUGAAAGACGGUCUUGCUGUCACUGAUAGAUGGAUCCGCGCUGCAUUAGCUGGUUGGUAAGGUAACGGCUUACCAAGGCAACGAUGCCUAGCCGACCGGAGAGGGUGUUCGGCCACACUGGAACUGAGACACGGUCCAGACUCCUACGGGAGGCCGCAGUAGGGAAUCUUCCGCGAUGGGCGGAAGCCUGCCGGAGCAACGCCGCGUGAGUGCUGAAGGUCUUCGGAUCGUAAAACUCUGUUAUUAGGGUAGACCAUAUGUGUAAGUAACUGUGCACAUCUUGACGGUACCUAAUCAGAAAGCCACGGCUAACUACGUG
rnacentral:rRNA from 1 species